rnacentral:tRNA from 1 species
GGGGCGGUAGCUCAGUGGUAGAGCUUCCGUUUCGUAUGCGGAAAGACCUGUGUUUGAUUCCCGGCUGCUUAC